CUGGCUCAGGACGAACGCUGGCGGCGUGCCUAACACAUGCAAGUCGAACGGACCGAUUUUCCGGAACCUUCGGGGGAAGGGAAAGAAGGUUAGUGGCGGACGGGUGAGUAACACGUGGGCAAUCUGCCCUUUAGACUGGGAUAACACCGGGAAACCGGUGCUAAUACCGGAUGAGAUCUUUUGGUGGCAUCACCGGAAGAUGAAAGGAGGCCUCUCGAAGAAGCUCACGCUAAAGGAUGAGCCCGCGGCCCAUUAGCUGGUUGGUAGGGUAAUGGCCUACCAAGGCGACGAUGGGUAGCCGGCCUGAGAGGGUGAACGGCCACACUGGGACUGAGACACGGCCCAGACUCCUACGGGAGGCAGCAGUGGGGAAUAUUGCGCAAUGGGCGAAAGCCUGACGCAGCGACGCCGCGUGGAGGACGAAGGUCUUCGGAUUGUAAACUCCUGUCGAGAGGGACGAAUGCCGUGAGGGUGAACAAUCCUCACGGUUGACGGUACCUCCAGAGGAAGCCCCGGCUAACUCCGUGCCAGCAGCCGCGGUAAUACGGAGGGGGCCAGCGUUGUUCGGAAUCAUUGGGCGUAAAGGGCGCGUAGGCGGCCGACCAAGUCGGAGGUGAAAUCCCUCGGCUCAACUGAGGAACUGCCUCCGAUACUGUUCGGCUUGAGUCCCGGAGAGGGUAGUGGAAUUCCGAGUGUAGCGGUGAAAUGCGUAGAGACUCGGAAGAACACCAGUGGCGAAGCGGCUACCUGGACGGGUACUGACGCUGAAGCGCGAAAGCUAGGGGAGCAAACAGGAUUAGAUACCCUGGUAGUCCUAGCUGUAAACGAUGGGCACUUG
rnacentral:rRNA from 1 species